rnacentral:rRNA from 1 species
GAUGAACGCUGGCGGCGUGCCUAAUACAUGCAAGUCGAGCGAACGGACGAGAAGCUUGCUUCUCUGAUGUUAGCGGCGGACGGGUGAGUAACACGUGGAUAACCUACCUAUAAGACUGGGAUAACUUCGGGAAACCGGAGCUAAUACCGGAUAAUAUUUUGAACCGCAUGGUUCAAAAGUGAAAGACGGUCUUGCUGUCACUUAUAGAUGGAUCCGCGCUGCAUUAGCUAGUUGGUAAGGUAACGGCUUACCAAGGCAACGAUGCAUAGCCGACCUGAGAGGGUGGUCGGCCACACGGGAACUGGGCCACGGUCCAUACUCCUACGGGAGGCAGCAGUAGGGAAUCUUCCGCAAUGGGCGAAAGCCUGACGGAGCAACGCCGCGUGAGUGAUGAAGGUCUUCGGAUCGUAAAACUCUGUUAUUAGGGAAGAACAUAUGUGUAAGUAACUGUGCACAUCUUGACGGUACCUAAUCAGAAAGCCACGGCUAACUACGUG